rnacentral:lncRNA from 1 species
AAGGUGAGAGAUUUGAAGACAACAAGGAAGAGAGGCGCCCCGGGGUGCCUGCCAGCGCUGUGGGGGCCACAGCCCCGCCGUCAGUGAGCGCAGGGGUGGCUCCGGGCCCUGAGGGGACGCCGCACAGGGACACGCAGACACCCGCCCUGCGGACAGGACGCUUCUCGGGCCCCGGCACCUACAUGUUUGUUUUCCCAGAACUUCACGAGAAAACAACCUGAAGCAUAAAGCUUGCCGUCUCUUUGCUGCCUUCAGAGUGGAAAAGUUGGGGUGACAGAGGAGUGUACGUGUGGCAGGGCGUAGACAGCAAGAGUGGCCGGCGUGGGCCGCCUGGAGGGGCCCCCACAGCCCACUUCCCGUAAACCAAGCCUAGUAGCUGGUUCAUGCUCUGCCUCUCCCUCUCCCACUCACUCUUGAAGAGAGGGCCUCACCUGGGGCUCCAGGCUGCUCUUUCCCAUCACUUUGGCCUCCCACGUGACAUUGGUGGGUGGUGUUGUCUGUACAUGCUAACUCCAUUGCUCUUUCCAGCCCCCUGCCAAUAAACAACUAUUUAAGGGGGGGAAAAAUAAAUAAAUAAAAUAAAUAAAUAAUCGUGUGCUGGUUGAUUAAAAUCCUUUCCAAGUAUUAGUUCCCUUGCUAAUGCUUGACCCCAUGGUUCACUAGUGAGAUAGGCAAGGGGCAGUCAGGGUGCCCAUCCUGGUGGCUACCGAGGCACAGCUGAUGUGCUUAGUCACAGAGUCCUAGGAUAAGUCAGCAGAAACCUGACCUUUCAGCCAGAGCCGCUGGCCGGCUCCCAGCUUCCCUGCACCACCUGACCUCCGUGGGCAUCAUGCCACAAGCUGUAGCUCUUUGCUGAGCCACCUGGGCUCUGCUGGGAGGGCACACAGGUUUGAGAUGUGAAAUAGGCGCCUGGGACAAGCUUCUGGCACUAUCCUCCAAGAGGCCUCGAUGGUGACAGACCUCAAAGCCUCAAAGAUGCAUUAGAUUGCGGAAAACAGCCAAACACUGAGGCAUGUGUGGAAAGCAAUGGCCUGAUAUGCUCAAAUCACUCUUAGAAUUUCUUUUAGAAAUUCCUUUGAAGCCAGAUGAUAAGCCACAGUUCUCUUAUCUCGUGGUUGUGUCAUCUUUAUGAUGAAAGAUAAGUGUGUUUGACGACCCACCAUUUUUCAUACGUGUGCCACCAGACAACAGAGCCCCAGCCAAUUGUCACUCACGGGGCAUACAGGACAUAUCCACAAAACAGGCUUCCCUAAUAAUCCCAUUUGCCAUUUAUUGAGCACCCUCUAUGUACCAGGAUCUACUUCCCACUUUAAUGACAGCCCCCAAAGAUCAUUUUUCCCAUUUUACAGA